CCUACGGGUGGCAGCAGUCGAGAAUCAUUCACAAUGGGGGAAACCCUGAUGGUGCGACGCCGCGUGGGGGAAUGAAGGUCUUCGGAUUGUAAACCCCUGUCAUGUGGGAGCAAAUUAAAAAGAUAGUACCACAAGAGGAAGAGACGGCUAACUCUGUGCCAGCAGCCGCGGUAAUACAGAGGUCUCAAGCGUUGUUCGGAAUCACUGGGCGUAAAGCGUGCGUAGGCUGUUUCGUAAGUCGUGUGUGAAAGGCGCGGGCUCAACCCGCGGACGGCACAUGAUACUGCGAGACUAGAGUAAGGGAGGGGGAACCGGAAUUCUCGGUGUAGCAGUGAAAUGCGUAGAUAGCGAGAGGAACACUCGUGGCGAAGGCGGGUUCCUGGACAUUAACUGACGCUGAGGCACGAAGGCCAGGGGAGCGAAAGGGAUUAGAUACCCCUGUAGUC
rnacentral:rRNA from 1 species